rnacentral:lncRNA from 1 species
CUUGUUUCUUCUUGGACUUGCCAUAGAGAUAGGAUUUUCUCAGAACUUAGGUCAGCUUAAAUUUUCAGUAACAAAAAGGAGCACGUACAUUUGUGUGUAGAGGGUGUAUUUGGAUGUUUCCUUGUUGGAGACGGGNGGUAAAUGAGGAGCAUGCGCAAUUAUGGAAAUUGAAAGAGAAUUGACUUUGAGUUGAUGACUAUGGUUAAGCACAAAAUGAAUUUUUCAGAUCCAGUCAUUUGGAAAGGAUUGAAAUUAAUACAAUUAAAGGGAUACGUUUUAAAAGACAGUUUUUUUUUUUUUUUUUCUAAGUGAAAAAUGGCUUUUCUUUAAGAAUAAUGCACACAUGAGGACAAUACCUAUCCCGGCCAAAUCCCUUGCCUGCUGAAAAAAAAUCUUAUCCCUGAUAAGAAAUAACUUCUUGACCCUAGGGGUUACAUUUAAACGAAGGUGAGCUGUUUUUCUUGAAAACCUUUGGCUUUUAUCCUGUUCUUAAUCUCUUUCAGUUCUGAGAGGGGAAGCCAUUGAUUAGGUGACCUUUGGAACUCUGCCUUAAAAGCCUAUAGUGUCUUUCACUGUUUCAUGGUCUUCUAAGCCUAGGUUGAAUGGAGAUAAAUUACAGUAGUUUUGUUUCUUAACUUGAUUAUAUUUUUUUGGCAUGAAAUCCUUCCCAUCUUUCCUUAAAAAUGUCGAAGCUUGCAAAACUGCUACUCAUUAAGCACAGGUGCGAGAAGGAAAAAUAAACUGCCCCAUGGGCAGCCCUCGUGGGUAAAAUAUCUGAGCAGUUUGUCUGGAAUUGACAGGCCCUGCAACCAGGGGAAAAAAAAAUACUUGAUGAGGAUUUUAAUUUAUGCCUUGAAAGCUUGCCAGUUUUCACUUAAUCAGCAUUUUGUUUAUAUUUUUAGUUACUUUAUUAUUUAAUCAGCACUUUUAAAAGCCUUAAUCUGUGCCCUUUGAUUUUUACCAGGAGUGCUCUUUUUCUCAUUAGAGGGAUGUAUCUCCCAACAGCCUUUGCAAAGGAGUCUUGUUCAUCCAGUAAAGUGGAAUGAACUACUGUGUAGCUGGAAUGCUCACCCAGAAACUGUGUUAUAGAACAUUUCAGCUUUCCAAACUAGGUAGUAGUUUCUUGGAAAAGUUUUAUUUUUGGGUGCUCUUGCUCCUUUUCUCAAUUUUCCUUUAUUUUAUGUAGGUGGCUCUAAAAGUUUUGAAAGGCUAAAAGACUUCGACUUGAAAGGUUUUUGACAUUUAAAUUAUUUUCCAUCUUUUUUUGAAUUCACAUAUUUUAAGCAUCUUAUAGGGAGCUAAUUAUGAAGGUUGUGUUAGAUGCUUAAAGACCAUCAUAAACAUUAUUUCUUAAACUUUUUUUUUUAAGAAGACAACACAGCAGAACCUUUAUUUUAUUUUCUUUAUUUAUUUAUUUUUUGUCUUUUUUGCUAUUUCUUUGGGCCGCUCCCGCGGCAUAUGGAGGUUCCCAGGCUAGGGGUUGAAUGGGAGCUGUAGCCACAGGCCUACGCCAGAGCCACAGCAACGCGGGAUCCGAGCCGCGUCUGCAACCUACACCACAGCUCACGGCAACGCCAGAUCGUUAACCCACUGAGCAAGGGCAGGGACCGAACCCACUACCUCAUGGUUCCUAGUCGGAUUCGUUAACCACUGCGCCACGACGAGAACUCCUGUUUCUUAAAUAAACUUUUAUACCAACAAUAGACUACUUUGAUAUAGGUGGUCAAUAAACACUUUCUAUUAGUUAUUAGUUAUUAAAAUUAAGGAUAUAUUCAACUGAAUUGUAGCAAUGAAAGUAUAAUUAUGACUAUCCCUAAAUUCAUGCUGAACCAUUUUCUGGAUAAAUUUGAUAUAUUCUCUCAUUAGCUGUGAAAGUUUUACUGAGAUGGAAUGGGUGUUUAAAAUCAUUACUAUAUUAAACAUGAAAAACUGGAGUUCUCUUGUGGUACAGCAGGUUAAGGAUCUGGCGUUACAACUGUAGCAGCCCAGGUCACUGCUGUGGUGCAGGUUCAGUCCCUAUCUGGGUAACUUCCAAACACCAAGAGUGUGGCCCAAAAACAAAACAAAACAAAAAUGUGAAAAACUAAGACAAUCUUAAGCACAUGAAAAAGGGCAUAAGGAUUUCAGUAUCUGAAGAGAAAUACAUUUAAACAGCUAUAUUUUACUCAGCACUUUCUCUGAGCCAGAACCAGGUCUAAGUACUUUACAGACAUUUUUUUCAUUCUACCAUCAACCACCCUGUGAGGUAAGGACCAUUAUCCUCUUACUCUUACAGAUGAGGACACAAGACUUAGAAAAAUAACUAGAAUGAAGCUUUCUAAAUCCCCAGCCUUGUAGACAUUCUGGUAUCACUUAAUGAUCUCUCUCUAGAAUAAAGGUGUGGGCAAUUGGCUAAAGGAUUUUGUAGAUGACUUUUUCAACCUGAGACUCAUUCAUUCAAACGACGUCACACAGAACCUUGCUGAUUGAUAUGCUGCCAGUUUUUACCUAUUGUAUCCAGGGCCAUUCUUUUGUGAACCAGUUUCUUUCCAAAAGCCUGACUGUGUUUUGGCAUUUGGAUUGGUACCUCUGACUCUCCACUAGACCACAAGCUUGACGGAGCAGAGUCUCUGUCUUGGUACUUAUGAAUGAAAGGAAAGAAAGGCAGAUGAUAAAGACUGAAAUGUACGGUUAGUCAUUAUUAAACCAGCCAGUCACAUUACUAAGUGCCCCGCAUAUGUUAUUUCAGCUUAUCCUCAAAGUAACUGCCAGAAAUAGAUAUCCAUAGCCCCAAUUUAACUCUGUGGCUAGAAAAGUUUAAGAUGAUCCUUAUGCUUCUACAAUGAAAAAAGGAUAGGCUGGAACUUAGUCUUCUUGCCGCAAAACUCAUAUUCUUCACCAAAACAUACAAGGCUUUCCCCCAAGAGAUUUUGCCCCAUUUAAGUUAUAAGAAAUUUGGAAAACUUCUCUGGUGAUUACUUUUUUUGUUCUCCCAGAUCUGCAUGCUCUGUUCUUCACUGCCUUGCUCUGCAUCUUGGGGCUGAUCCCUUGGACUGUACGGCAGACUCCUCUGCCUGCUGCAGGGCAGGAGGACAAAGACAGGACGGUGUUUCUUCUGCAGUCUGGUUUCAGGGCUACAGUUCUGGUGGCAGUGUCCUCUCUGCAGAACAUGCAUUCUCCCUGGGAGCAAGACUGCCCCCAAGAGGGUGAACAUUGGUUGUUGGUGGGUGGGGGGCCGGGGGUGGGGUGGGGAGAGUGAAAAGAAAAAAAAAA